rfam:Salmo salar isolate Sally breed double haploid chromosome ssa22, whole genome shotgun sequence.
GGUGGCUCAGUUGGUAGAGCAUGGUGCUUGCAGUGCCAGGGUUGUGGGUUAGAUUCCCACUGGGACCA